rnacentral:lncRNA from 1 species
CUUGGAUGGCUUGAAUGGUGGUGGUUGGGGGUAUUUAUAGCCCCAACCACUAUUCUAGUCGUUAGCUGAAUUCUCUGUUGAUGGGCACACCGGACAGUACGGUGGUGCACCGGACAAAGCACUAUUCAUUGUUCGGUGCGUGCCACGUCAGCCGAUCGUUGGGGUUUGGAGCUGUUGACCGUUGAAUACUUCUGUCCUUUUAGUGCACCGGACAGUCCGGUGCGACCUGUCGUCGCGGACUGUCUUCUAACUUCUGACGCUGCAGACUGCGGGCGCCGUCCCACAGUCGACCGUUGGUGGAGUCGACCAUUGCUCUGAGGGCUCACCGGACAGUCUGGUGGCACACCGGACAGUCCAAUGAUUUUUAGCGGACGAGCUCCGAGAAACCCCGAGAGCGGCCAGAUCGCGGAGUGCUCCAGCUAGGGCACCGGACAGUCCGGUGCACCACUGACUGCAGCAAGUCGGUUUGCUCCAAAUUUGUAGAAUUGCCCCAAAGUUAUUUUCUUUGUAUGUGUAUGUGAACUUUAUGCACCUAAGAAAAAUAACAACUAGGCAAACUAGUUAGUCCAUAAGGUUUGUGAUGGACGUCAAACACCAAAAUCGUUUAUAGAAAAUAUUUAGUUAAUUUCUCUUUCAAACUCCCCUAACUCCCGUGCCCCUUUCGGGUAAGGUAGACCUCCACUAUCUUUCCUAAUUAAUCAGCUAAGGGCGUCCCAUUCCACCCUUGUGGUAACACGGUUAUCUCAAGUUAAGCUUCAUGUUCCAAUUAACACAAUAGUCUUAUCAUGAACAGUAAAGAAUUCAAUAACAGUAAAGACAUGAUCAUGAAUGAUAUAUAUCUUAACACCCAAAACCACAUAGAGCAAUAACAGAUACUAUCCAAAAGUUCAGUGGUAAACAAGUCAUAAAGAUGACCAAACUAGAGUGACCUAUUGGGCCCCAUCAAAAUUAAACCUACACAUGCCAAAGUGAUUAUAAAGAAAAUUAUUGAGUGAAGGAAAUUGGUCAAGGGCACAACUUUCCUUCAAUGAGCUCCUACUCAGAGUUUUCCACCUCUGAGUACCAGGGUCCUCGGUCACUUGCUCGUCUAUUCGCAGCAAUACAAACAAACAUGGUAUAGGAGAAAUUAACAUCACACCAAACAGAAGAACAUAAUGCAUGAUAAUGAUCUAUGCAUCGCAUCGAGAUCCUAGGUUUAAGAAUCAGUAAUUCAGAGUUACGGUUAUAAAGUUAUGAUUUUCUAAAGGUUUUGGUGUUUAAUAUAAAACAAAUGAAGUACAUGAUUUUAACCAUAGGUUUCAU